UCGGUAGAGCGUUGGACUCUUAAUCCAACGGUCGUGGGUUCGAGCCCCACGUUGGGCG
rnacentral:tRNA from 1 species